rnacentral:misc_RNA from 1 species
CCGAGUUUACAAUUCCCAAACCCAUGUGAACAUACCUACUGUUGCUUCGGCGGGAUUGCCCCGGGCGCCUCGUGUGCCCCGGAUCAGGCGCCCGCCUAGGAAACUUAACUCUUGUUUUAUUUUGGAAUCUUCUGAGUAGUUUUUACAAAUAAAUAA